AUAAAUUAUUUGUAGUCUUAGUCUUAGGGGCUCUUGAGCCCCCAUGAGGACUAAGAUCAGUCUCCGGGCUUUCGAGCCCUCACAGCUGGUUAGCGACAGCGCCAGUGGGGACUGACACAAAACACCUGUGCACUUGAAUGUAUCUUGGAUAGGAAUUUUCUUAUCCAAAAACUUUUUAAACCCCUAUUGAUUAACGUCUGAAUUAUUUUAUUAAAUAUAAA
rnacentral:misc_RNA from 1 species